UCUCAUUUUGUAUCGGCACAACCAAUAAUUCACAAGAUCAUCUAAUCCACAUAGGCAAAGGAAGAUUUUUCGUAGUAAAAUUCAGUAUAGUGGAGGGAAAGGAAGGUUUUUCGUUGUAAAAUUCACUACACUAGAGGGAAAAAGUUUCAAUGUUAUUAUCUAAUUGUUUCAUGGUUUUCUUAGUCAUGACUUUCUUUUCUCUACCAGCUUUAGGGGGAGGUCCAUCUAAUUUGACUUUGCCCUGGGCUGUCUGCAGGUGGGUUAAACAACCAGAUUUGGUGGAUUAGUUGGACUUGUAAAUAAUUUUUUCUGAUCCCAACACACUUUAUAUAGAGAAGUAGUAUUUCUUCAUAUUGUUACUUUUUUUGUUUGCUUUUGUGCUUAUUGCUCAUAUUGUUAAAUGUUUGUUGGGGCCAGUUCUUUUGGGCAAUUCUCCCAGAAUUGACCCCCUCCCCAGCUUCUCCCAGAAUUGCUACUCCAUCCUUUUUUACAAUUCCUAGCUAGUUAAGGUCUAAUUAGCUAGGAAUUGUAAAAAAAGAUGGAGUGGCAAUUCUGGGAGAAGCUGGGGAGGGGGUCAAUUCUGGGAGAAUUGCCCAAAAGAACUGGCCCUGACUCUUCUUUCUCUGGUCACCUUCAGUGCACAUGUUUCUUCAUUAUUUCAGUAACUACCUUCUCAUUGUUCCGCCUUCAUUUCUCAAAUCCAUGCUUAUCAGUUAUCCCUCUGUAUGCAUCAGUGAUCAAUAUUUCUCUUCAGCCUCAUUAUUUCUUUUCGAGAGUGCGCCAAAGGCUUACCUUAGCUUUAUAGAAGGAAGGAGUGAUAUUUACAAGUCAGCCUCAUUAUUUCAUUAAGUCCCUGCUCUACCCAGCCUUCAUAAAUUCAGUAUGCCCCUGUGCAUUAUGUAUAAAGACUUUUUUGAGCAUUCUUAUUUUUUAUCUUUUUGUUUCACCAGGAGGUUUUAUUACUAACCAGAGGAAGUUUCUUCUCCCACUUCGUUUUAGCGCAUGUUGUUUCAGAUGUGUUAUGUAAUAGUACUACAUAGAAGAGUUUUUUGCUUCAAGAAGUGUUAUGUAAUAGCAUAAAAACUACAUAAAUAGUUCGUUCUGUUCUGUUUUUUUUUCACUAGACAUUGAUGCUAUUUGUGCUCUUUAGCAGUGACACCAUAGUCAGUUAGCAUUUUCUGUCUUUUAGCUACACUGAGCCUUUGAUUUGUUUGUACCAUUAGGCUGUAGGGAAAUAUUACUAUAUGUAACAUGUAUUUUUUUUGUUCUUAUAAGAUGUUGUUUCUCAUUUCUGAAAUUUAUUUCUUGAUGCAGCUUCAUUCGGAUUUAUGUGAAUAUAAGCGUAAGAGGUCCACUGGGAAUGAUACAAAAUAAUUUCAGACGUGAGUAUCCGGAUCGCAUUGCUACUGGUCGUCUCUUGCGAUGGCGUACAGCGGGCUUUUGACAAAGCCAAGUCAUGGCCUCAUGAGGAUGCUUUUGGAUUAACUGUAGUGCAUUGUACCGUUUUAUGCUCCAUGCGAGAGUUGUACAUAUCCUCAUUAGAUGUACCCCUGCCUAUGAUGGUUCUGAACUCAAAUAUUAGAGUAUCUGUAUAUUUGAUCAAUGUGGUACUAUUAUAUCCUAAUGUUAUAACAUAUAUGCCCGUAUUGAUAUACAUGAGUGUGAUUAAGAACAAAACAUGGCAGCCCAAUGUGUUGAAACAAGAUAAGUGCGC
rnacentral:lncRNA from 1 species